GACGAACGCUGGCGGCGUGCUUAACACAUGCAAGUCGAACGGAAAGGCCCUGCUUUUGUGGGGUGCUCGAGUGGCGAACGGGUGAGUAACACGUGAGUAACCUGCCCUUGACUUUGGGAUAACUUCAGGAAACUGGGGCUAAUACCGGAUAGGAGCUCCUGCUGCAUGGUGGGGGUUGGAAAGUUUCGGCGGGUGGGGAUGGACUCGCGGCUUAUCGGCUUGUUGGUUGGGUAGUGGCUUACCAAGGCUUUGACGGGUAGCCGGCCUGAGAGGGUGACCGGCCACAUUGGGACUGAGAUACGGACCAGACUCCUACGGGAGGCAGCAGUGGGGAAUAUGGCACAAUGGGCGGAAGCCUGAUGCAGCAACGCCGCGUGCGGGAUGACGGCCUUCGGGUUGUAAACCGCUUUCGCCUGUGACGAAGCGUGAGUGACGGUAAUGGGUAAAGAAGCACCGGCUAACUACGUG
rnacentral:rRNA from 1 species